rnacentral:lncRNA from 1 species
GUCAAUCUCGCCCGCCGCUGCCGGAUUACAGAACGGCGAAUUUGCCGCCCUUGCCGACGACGGUGAAAUCUGAAGUCGGCGGCGUCGGCGACGGAGGAGGAGGAGGAGGGGGGAACAAUUCGAAUCUGGUGAGGCACAGUAGCUCACCUGCUGGACUAUUCUCCAACAUCAACAUUGAAUUCGAAAACGGUAACUAGAUAUUUUAGUACUCCCUCCCAAGAUCUCAGCUUUGUUUCCAUUUCCUGGAAAGGAAAGGG